GCAUGGUGAACAGCAAUCUGGGGCAGGGGAUUCCACACUGUGUAUACUGCUGCCUGAUGUAGUGAUGGCAGUUCAGGUCCUGUGCAACCAGCGCUGUAGUCUCCAUUAUCCCAGACAGUGGUAUACAGAUUUGUUCAUAAUUGUUUGUUUGUUUGUUUUUUUAAUAGUCCAGCCCUCCAAUGGUUUGAGGGACAGUGAACUGUCCUCCUCUGUAAAAAGUUUGGGGACCCCUGCCUUAGACAAUCACAUGACAGUGCCUAGGGGAUCUUGCCGAGUCUCCAUUGAGCACACUGGGCUGAAGGUCCUUACAAUCUGUUUUCUGCAUGGAGGUAAUGGACUUUUUUAGAAAUAUCUUCAUCAAGAUUGAAAGAUUGGCUAGAUCUGAAGAACCUGUGACACGUAUCCAUGAGCUUCAAAGACCUAAUUUAAAAAGAAGAAGAAGGAGAAAGAAAGAAAGAAAGAAGAAGAAGUAGAACUCCCAGCUGACAGUCACCUUUUUCUUAGGGUCAGAAGCCUUCCAGUGUUUUAACUGUGGUUCACGAUCAGGGUCAGGCUUUGCACUUCCCU
rnacentral:lncRNA from 1 species